rnacentral:rRNA from 1 species
GACGAACGCUGGCGGCGUGCCUAAUACAUGCAAGUCGAACGCAGUUGGGACGGGUGAGUAACACGUGGGUAACCUCCCAUCAGAGGGGAUAACACUUGGAAUCAGGUGCUAAACCCAGAUUGAUGGAUGGACCCGUGGUGCAUUGGCUAGUGGGGGAGGUAACGGCGCACCAAGGCCACGAUGCAUAGCUGGUCUGAGAGGGUGAUGGGCAACACGGGGACUGAGACACGGCCCAGACUCCUACGGGAGGCAACAGUAGGGAAUCUUCGGCAAUGGACGAAAGUCUGACCGAGCAACGCCGCGUGAGUGAAGAAGGUUUUCGGAUCGUAAAACUCUGUUGUGAGAGAAGCGGUAUCUAACCAGAAAGCCACGGCUAACUACGUGCCAGCAGCCGCGGUAAUAC